rnacentral:rRNA from 1 species
UAAAAAUGUUAAUAUUUAAACUAAAGUAGUAUUAGUUAUGUUCUUUAAAUUUAAAGAUUUUGGCGGUAUUUUAGUCUAUUCAGAGGAACCUGUUCUGUAAUUGAUAGUCCACGAUUAACUUUACUUAAGUUUAAAAGUUUGUAUAUCGUUGUUUAUAGAAAAUUUUUUAAGAAAAAUAAUUUUUAAUAAAUUUAAUUAAAUUAUAAAUCAAAUCAAGGUGCAGUUUAUAUUUAAGUAGAAAUGGGUUACAAUAAAGUUAUUUAAAUGGAUUUAAAUUUUAAAAUAUUUAAUGAAGGAGGAUUUGAUAGUAAUUUUAUUAAAUUUAAUAAAGUGAUUAUAGCUCUAGAAUAUGU